rnacentral:rRNA from 1 species
GACGAACGCUGGCGGCGUGCUUAACACAUGCAAGUCGAACGGAAAGGCCCUGCUUUUGUGGGGUGCUCGAGUGGCGAACGGGUGAGUAACACGUGAGUAACCUGCCCUUGACUUUGGGAUAACUUCAGGAAACUGGGGCUAAAACCGGAUAGGAGCUCCUGCUGCAUGGUGGGGGUUGGAAAGUUUCGGCGGUUGGGGAUGGACUCGCGGCUUAUCAGCUUGUUGGUGGGGUAGUGGCUUACCAAGGCUUUGACGGGUAGCCGGCCUGAGAGGGUGACCGGCCACAUUGGGACUGAGAUACGGCCCAGACUCCUACGGGAGGCAGCAGUGGGGAAUAUUGCACAAUGGGCGGAAGCCUGAUGCAGCAACGCCGCGUGCGGGAUGACGGCCUUCGGGUUGUAAACCGCUUUCGCCUGUGACGAAGCGUGAGUGACGGUAAUGGGUAAAGAAGCACCGGCUAACUACGUA